AAUUGCAAUAUGUUUUUGCUGAUUGUUGUUUCUUUCAUCAUUCUUGAGAACAAGAAUGAUUUCAAGGAGUGGGGAAUGUUAUGAUUAAGGAAGUAGAGUAGUUAGUAAGUUGUGAGGGGAAAUAUAAGAGUUACUAGAGAGGGAGGAAGUAGUUAUAGAACUGUUAGAGAUCUAUUGUAAUUAGUUGAGUAUGUCUGUGACAAUUAUAAGAGAGGACUAAGUUUAAAAUGUUGGAAAAGCACCUGUAUUUCUCAUUUAAGAAUCAAAUACAAAGAGUUAUC
rnacentral:misc_RNA from 1 species